rnacentral:rRNA from 1 species
AGUGAACGCUGGCGGCAGGCCUAACACAUGCAAGUCGAGCGGCAGCGCGGGGGCAACCCUGGCGGCGAGCGGCGGACGGGUGAGGAAUUCGUCGGAAUCUGCCUUUUUGUGGGGGAUAACGUAGGGAAACUUACGCUAAUACCGCAUACGUCCUACGGGAGAAAGUGGGGGACCGCAAGGCCUCACGCAGAAAGAUGAGCCGACGACCGAUUAGCUAGUUGGUGGGGUAAAGGCCCACCAAGGCGACGAUCGGUAGCUGGUCUGAGAGGAUGAUCAGCCACACUGGGACUGAGACACGGCCCAGACUCCUAAGGGAGGCAGCAGUGGGGAAUAUUGGACAAUGGGCGCAAGCCUGAUCCAGCCAUGCCGCGUGUGUGAAGAAGGCCUUCGGGUUGUAAAGCACUUUUGUCCGGAAAGAAAUCCCUGGAGCUAAUACCUUCGGGGGAUGACGGUACCGGAAGAAUAAGCACCGGCUAACUUCGUG